UGCAAGUAGAACGCUGAAGGAGGAGCUUGCUUCUCCGGAUGAGUUGCGAACGGGUGAGUAACGCGUAGGUAACCUGCCUGGUAGCGGGGGAUAACUAUUGGAAACGAUAGCUAAUACCGCAUAAGAGUAGAUGUUGCAUGACAUUUGCUUAAAAGGUGCAAUUGCACCACUACCAGAUGGACCUGCGCUGUAUUAGCUAGUUGGUGGGGUAACGGCUCACCAAGGCGACGAUACAUAGCCGACCUGAGAGGGUGAUCGGCCACACUGGGACUGAGACACGGCCCAGACUCCUACGGGAGGCAGCAGUAGGGAAUCUUCGGCAAUGGACGGAAGUCUGACCGAGCAACGCCGCGUGAGUGAAGAAGGUUUUCGGAUCGUAAAGCUCUGUUGUAAGAGAAGAACGAGUGUGAGAGUGGAAAGUUCACACUGUGACGGUAUCUUACCAGAAAGGGACGGCUAACUACGUGCCAGCAGCCGCGGUAAUACGUAGGUCCCGAGCGUUGUCCGGAUUUAUUGGGCGUAAAGCGAGCGCAGGCGGUUAGAUAAGUCUGAAGUUAAAGGCUGUGGCUUAACCAUAGUACGCUUUGGAAACUGUUUAACUUGAGUGCAAGAGGGGAGAGUGGAAUUCCAUGUGUAGCGGUGAAAUGCGUAGAUAUAUGGAGGACCACCGGUGGCGAAAGCGGCUCUCUGGCUUGUAACUGACGCUGAGGCUCGAAAGCGUGGGGAGCAAACAGGAUUAGAUACCUG
rnacentral:rRNA from 1 species